CUCUGGUUUGGGUAAUCUGGAUGUUCUGGAUGGUAAGGAUGUUCUGGAUGUUUUGGUUUGUCUGGAUAGUUUGGGUAGUCUGGAUAGUUUGGGUAGUCUGGAUAGUUUGGGUUGUCUGGAUGGUCUGAGUUGUCUGGGUGGUCUGGAUAGUCUGCAUGUUUUGGGUAGUAUUGAUGUUUUGAGUGGUCUGAUGUUCUGGGUAGUCUGGAUGGUCUAGAUAUUCUUUAUGGUUUGGUUAGUCUGGAUAUUCUGGGUAGUCUGGAUGGUCUAGGUAUUCUUUAUGGUUUGGUUAGUCUGUAUUGUCUGGUCUGGAUAGUCUGGGAACACUGGGUGGUUUGUUUGUAUGGUCUGGAUGUUUAGGGUAGUCUGGAUCGUCUUGAUUGUCGGGAUAGUCUGAACUGUCUGGGUAGUCAGAUUAAUCUGGAUAGUAUUGAUGGUCUGGAUGGUUUGGGUAGUCUGGAUGGUUUGGGUAGUCUGGAUGGUCUGGGUAUUCUGGAUGGUUUGGGUAGUCUGGAUAGUCUGAAUGGUCUGGUUAUUCCGGAUGGUUUGGGUAGUCUGAAUUGUCUGGAUGGUCUGUGUAGUCCGGAUGGUCUGGAUAGUUUGGAUGAUUUCUGUAGUCUGGAUGGUACGGAUGUUCUGGAUGUUGUGGUUUGUCUACAUGGUCUGGGUAGUCUGAAUGGUUUUGGUGGUCUUGAUAGUGUGGAUGGUUUUUUAGUCUGGAUGGUUUGGAUAGUCUGGAUGGUUCAGGUAGUCUGGAUAGUCCGAAUGGUCUGGAUAAUUUGGGUAGUCCGGAUAGUCUGAAUGGUCUGGAUAAUUUGGGUAGUCUGGAUGGUUUGGGUAGUCUGUAUGGUUUGGGUUGUCUGGAUUGUCUGGGAUAGUCUGGAUGUUCUGAAUAGUCUCUAUGGUUUGGGUAGUCUGGACAGUCUGGAUGGUCUACAUAGAAUGGAUGGUCUGGAUGGUUUUGGUAGUCUGGAUAGUCUGGAUGGUUUGGGUAGUCUGGAAUGUAUGCUUAUUCUGGAUGGUUUGGAGUCUGGAAGGCUUGGGUAGUCUAGAUGGUCGAAUUGUCUCUAUGGUUUGGGUAGGCUGGAUGGUCGAAUUGUCUAUGGUUUGGGUAGUCUGGAUGGUCUGCAUAGAAUGGAUGGUUUGGUAGACUGGAUAGUCUGCUUAUUCUGGAUGGUUUGGGUAGUCUGGAUGGUUUGGGUAGUCUGGAUACUCUGGAUGGCCUGGAUAGUCUGGGUGGUUUGGGUAGUCUGGAUGGUUUUGGUAGUCUGGAUAGGCUGGAUGGUACGGA
ensembl:lncRNA